GGUAAAGUGGCCGAGUAGGUGGUGGGUUGUAGCCCCAAAGACAGAGGUUCGAGCCCUCUCUUUACCA
rnacentral:tRNA from 1 species